rnacentral:rRNA from 1 species
UACGGGGGGAGCAAGCGUUGUUCGGAUUUACUGGGCGUAAAGGGCUCGUAGGCGGCCAACUAAGUCAGACGUGAAAUCCCUCGGCUUAACCGGGGAACUGCAUCUGAUACUGGAUGGCUUGAGUUUGGGAGAGGGAUGCGGAAUUCCAGGUGUAGCGGUGAAAUGCGUAGAUAUCUGGAGGAACACCGGUGGCGAAGGCGGCAUCCUGGACCAACACUGACGCUGAGGAGCGAAAGCCAGGGGAGCAAACGGG